GACGAACGCUGGCGGCGUGCUUAACACAUGCAAGUCGAACGGAAAGGCCCUGCUUUUGUGGGGUGCUCGAGUGGCGAACGGGUGAGUAACACGUGAGUAACCUGCCCUUGACUUUGGGAUAACUUCAGGAAACUGGGGCUAAUACCGGAUAGGAGCUCCUGCUGCAUGGUGGGGGUUGGAAAGUUUCGGCGGUUGGGGAUGGACUCGCGGCUUAUCAGCUUGUUGGUGGGGUAGUGGCUUACCAAGGCUUUGACGGGUAGCCGGCCUGAGAGGGUGACCGGGCACAUUGGGACUGAGAUACGGCGCAGACUCCAACGGGAGGCAGCAGCGGGGAAUAUUGCACAAUGGGCGGAAGCCUGAUGCAGCAACGCCGCGUGCGGGAUGACGGCCUUCGGGUUGUAAACCGCUUUCGCCUGUGACGAAGCGUGAGUGACGGUAAUGGGUAAAGAAGCACCGGCUAACUACGUG
rnacentral:rRNA from 1 species